rnacentral:rRNA from 1 species
GACGAACGCUGGCGGCGUGCCUAAUACAUGCAAGUUGAGCGCUGAAGGUUGGUACUUGUACCAACUGGAUGAGCAGCGAACGGGUGAGUAACGCGUGGGGAAUCUGCCUUUGAGCGGGGGACAACAUUUGGAAACGAAUGCUAAUACCGCAUAAAAACUUUAAACACAAGUUUUAAGUUUGAAAGAUGCAAUUGCAUCACUCAAAGAUGAUCCCGCGUUGUAUUAGCUAGUUGGUGAGGUAAAGGCUCACCAAGGCGAUGAUACAUAGCCGACCUGAGAGGGUGAUCGGCCACAUUGGGACUGAGACACGGCCCAAACUCCUACGGGAGGCAGCAGUAGGGAAUCUUAGGCAAUGGACGAAAGUCUGACCGAGCAACGCCGCGUGAGUGAAGAAGGUUUUCGGAUCGUAAAACUCGGUUGGUAGAGAAGAACGGUGGUGAGAGUGGAAAGCUCAUCAAGUGACGGUAACUACCCAGAAAGGGACGGCUAACUACGUG